UACGUAGGUGGCAAGCGUUGUCCGGAAUUACUGGGCGUAAAGAGCGCGCAGGCGGCUGGUCAAGUCCGAUGUGAAAGCUUCCGGCUUAACUGGGAAAUUGCAUCGGAAACUGAUCGGCUUGAAGGUGGGAGAGGGUAGUGGAAUUCCCGGUGUAGUGGUGAAAUGCGCAGAUAUCAGGAAGAACACCCGUGGCGAAGGCGGCUCUCUGGUACGGAACUGACGCUGAGACGCGAAAGCGUGGGGAGCGAACAGG
rnacentral:rRNA from 1 species